GUUUUUUCCCCUAAAAAUUUUCCCCAAAUCCCUUAUUUUUUUCCCCAAAUCAAAAUCCCCAAAUCCCUUAGAUUUUUCCCAACCGUCUGCUGCAUUGCCGUUCGGCUGAGAAAGGGGAGUUCUAGGAAAUCUGGUCGCGAUUCGGCUGAGAAGAAAGAGCCUGUGACGCCUAGUAGUGAUAAGCCUACAAGGGAAAGGAAAGUCGUAGAAAGGUAUUCAGCUCCUUCUGUUCUGUUGCAAGGUCUUCCUCAUCUAAAACUCUGUCAAUUGAAAAGGGUCGUGGUACUCAGCUUAAAGAUAUUCCUAAUGGGCCUUCGGAGAUUUCAUUUUUCUCCAUCUCAUGAAAGGUUCUCUUCAUAAUGCGCAGCCAACAUGAUUUUUUAUUUUGAGUAAGCUGGCAACAUUAUCUUAAGAUGGAAGGAAAUGGCAAAUGCUCAAAGUUGAUUGUUUCGUAUUAUUCAGAAAAGUACUAAAAAAGAGUCAUUAUGGUCUUUCUCUGCUUAUGUUUCUCUUUCCUGAGGUUUCAUUUUUCUCUGCCUUAUUUGUGAAAGGUCUUCUUCAUUGUAUGCAAGCAACAUAUUUCAAGAUGAGAAGGAAAUAUUAUCUAAAUGCCAAAUAUUUGCACCGUGACAUAAUCAUGAUGAUUGUUUCCUAUGGAUCACUUAAAAGAUAUUUGAGGAAAGGAUUCAUUAUGUUUUUCCUAUGGUGAUUUUUCUCUUUCUCAAUUCUCAGAAUUCCUAUAUUGUUUUUGGAUAUUGCAGGUUCUUUAUGGGUUAGAGUAUGCACAUGCGAUAUCACAUAUCAAAGAGGCAUUGGUGGAAGCUAUGCCUAGGACCAAAUUGGAGCUCAUUUUUGCUGAUGUUAUGUGUUCCAUUAUUAAUCCAUUAGAAGAUCAUAGGAAGUCCGACGGAUUUGGAUAUUUGGGCAGCUGUUCUUCUGUUAACAGUUUAAGUGCGGCAACUGGUACUAGGUGUAGUCUAGGAGGCUUGAUAUGGGAUCUACUAGAAGGACGGAGAAUGGAAGAUUACUUGCUUUUAUGGAUUGGGCCUGACAAUUCAACUUUUUCCAAUGUUGUGCUGACAUUUAAUGGCUGUGAGAUAGAUAUGAUGCAACAGAGGAACAAUUAGUUACAGAUGUUUCACAACAAAAAAGGAUCCUUAAGCGUAGUGUGAUGUUUUCAUCUAUGUCUCAUGUGCGCAAACUGCACUUUUGGAUAGCAAAGAGUUCUUAUUACUCCAUUUGAAGCCAUGCUAGCUUUCAGCAGAAGAGACGAAAAACACCCCAAGGUGGAGAUUUAAGUCAUCAGCAAAGGUUUCUGCUAAAUCACAAGGUAAAAGCAAAAGUAGCAAGAAACCUAAACCUGAGCCUAGCAGGGAAGAUAUUCAUGAAGUAGUUGUAGAUAUUCUAAAAAAAGUGGACUUCAACAUUGCAACAUUAUCUGAUAUCCUUCGACAACUGGAAAAGCCGAGGUGAAGGAUAUCAUUAUAGAUGUGAUAAAUAACAUGUCUGAUGAGGAUGAGGAAGGGGAUGAAAGUGAGGAGAAUGCUGAUAUAGGUGGUGGUGCUAAUAAAGAUGGUGAUGGAGAUGAUGAUGCCUAGUUCUCACUUGAGAAAAUUAUAUGACUGGUAAUUUAUCUCUCCCUCUAGGGAUUUGAUUUGCAAUUCUCAAUAGAAUUAUAAAAUUGUAGUCAUUUUAGAUGUUCAAUAGGUGGGAUUGUAACAUAUGAGGUAGUUACUCUUUUGUAGUAACUUAUUAUAGUAUGCUUGUAGUUGAAGUUUCUCAUAGUGAACAUCAUGUUAUUUAUUCGGCAGAUGUUUCAAAGAUUUGAGUUUUAGAAGAAAGUAUGUAUUGUAGUCAUUAGAUUGGGUUUUCAAAGAUGAUUAUGUUAACAUUUUGAUCAAACAUUAUGAACAGUUCUUUUGUUAA